rnacentral:rRNA from 1 species
UACGUAGGGUGCAAGCGUUAUCCGGAUUUAUUGGGCGUAAAGCGAACGCAGGCGGUCUUUUAAGUCUGAUGUGAAAGCCUUCGGCUUAACCGGAGUAGUGCAUUGGAAACUGGGAGACUUGAGUGCAGAAGAGGAGAGUGGAACUCCAUGUGUAGCGGUGAAAUGCGUAGAUAUAUGGAAGAACACCAGUGGCGAAAGCGGCUCUCUGGUCUGUAACUGACGCUGAGGUUCGAAAGCGUGGGUAGCAAACAGG